GUGGGGAAUAUUGGACAAUGGGCGAAAGCCUGAUCCAGCCAUGCCGCGUGUGUGAAGAAGGUCUUCGGAUUGUAAAGCACUUUAAGUUGGGAGGAAGGGCAGUAAGUUAAUACCUUGCUGUUUUGACGUUACCAACAGAAUAAGCACCGGCUAACUACGUGCCAGCAGCCGCGGUAAUACGAAGGGUGCAAGCGUUAAUCGGAAUUACUGUGCGUAAAGCGCGCGUAGGUGGUUCAGCAAGUUGGAGGUGAAAUCCCCGGGCUCAACCUGGGAACUGCCUCCAAAACUGCAUGACUAGAGUACGGUAGAGGGUAGUGGAAUUUCCUGUGUAGCGGUGAAAUGCGUAGAUAUAGGAAGGAACACCAGUGGCGAAGGCGACUACCUGGACUGAUACUGACACUGAGGUGCGAAAGCGUGGGGAACAAACAGGAUUAGAUACCCGGGUAGUCC
rnacentral:rRNA from 1 species